CAGAACUCUAAGAAAUAUAGGAAUGGCAGGUGUAAGGAGCAGUUACCACACCUAAGGCUUAUGGAGAGAGCCUGAGGUAGAGCCUCCGCCCCAUCCACCUCAGUCUCGGGGCUGAAUUCCAGACCUUGUUGGAGAAGGCAUGGCCAUGGCUCACUGGAUGGCAGGGAAGCUGCUGUGGUGCUGUACAAGAAGAACCUGCUGGAAACCUGCCCUUGAGAGUGCCAGGGAAAGCUGUUCACAGAGCGUUGUCUCUAUGACACAAGGCACUAGACUAUGAGAUUGCCCUGUGGGGAGACAAGGCAAAGCUCCUGGCCACUGGGUACUGCUGACCAUGUACCCUGAGGGGAUUGGGGCUGGGAAAGUCACCAUUACUGCAGGUGCUGGACACUGCUGAAGCCCUUGGGGCCACCAGAAACCUGGUGCUAAAGAAGCCCUGCCAGGUGCACAAGACAAGUGAGCUCCCAGAACCGGGCAGGCAACGAAGGGUGAAUCUGGAGCUGAGAGGCAUGAAUAACUGGCACAGGAUGACACACAGUUGUACUUAAUGUGUGAGUCUCAUGGUACUCAGGUAACUAAAGAAUCUGUAUCAAUAUUCCAAAUCCUGUUGAAAGCGGUACCAAGGGACUUGUUGAUAUUUGGGGAAGCUUCUCCAAAGAUAGGUAUAGAAUUUUCAAAGUGCAAAGGAAGGAAAAAUAAUGAAGGGCAAUCUGAAGAAACAGGCUACCACAAUCCAAAGCCGUGCAUUCUUAACUGGAAUCUUUUGUCCCAAACAAUGAAUAUGAGUUCACGAGGUUGCACAAUGCAUAACGUGACCCAACUGCAGCAUGGUGUUCCUGGAUUUUAAUCUCCUAAACUUCCUUGUUAAUAAAGUUAUGUUUGUCUGCAUCACUAUAUUUACAAGUUAAAUAUUUAAAACCUCAGUCAUCUUGGAAUUAGCAAAUAUUUAGUGCCGAUAUGUUUUUUUCUUAAUUAACUCUAAACUAGCUCAAUUUAUUUCAAAUCAUAAUUAUCUCUAAAGAUUUUUAUUUAUGAGGGGAAGAGAUAUACCAAAGACUACUCCAAACUUACAGGAAUUAGAUCAGAAGUCUUACAAUUUUCUCCAAAUUUUCUUCAUGGCUGCCUCAAAGAGAAAUCAUGCUAUACUCUAUAUUUUCUGCAGUAAAGCCAAGGAUAUGGGAGGGAAAAAAAGGGGAAAGAGUCAUGGAAAGCCAGCUUCUUGCUGAAACUCCACUAGGUGCCCUGCUGGAAUCUCCCUUGAAAGAGCCUCUAUCCUGAAGAGCGUUGGACCCUGGAGCUGCUGGCCACAUCUUGAUCUGCCAUAUGUGGUCCAAGAAUGAAGUCAACACGAAGGAGAAUGAAGGUGCUGAGGGAUAAAGUUAUUGACAUUCUAGGAGCUCCUGGAUCAAACCAUGCCUGAACUCAAUUUAUCCCUUGAACUUUUCAAUUACAUGAAUAAAUCCUCCUUUUGCCUGAGUCAAUGUGGAUUAGUAUCAUUGGCAUUCAGAAGAUUCCUAAAGUCUCAGGUCUUCUGCACAUCUAUAACCAUGGCAAUUGCGGUCCUGCUCUCCUUUCCCCUCCCCUGAGCAGGCAAGCUUUCCUUCUCUAUCAUGUAAACCUCCUGGGUCAUUCAGAGUAUUUCUCAAAUGUUACCUGGAGUUUCCCAAGACUUCAGUUCUCACUGACCAUUUACUUCUUAAACUGCUAGGAUGAUAACCUAUAACUUUGCAUCUAACCAAUCCCUUAGCACUUUCCUUAGAGACUUCUUAGAGAUCUUUUUGAUGCCUAAGGGUAGGAAUCAGGGCUUCUCUAUCUUGUAUAUGCACUGCCCCCCACCCACAGGUCCAUAGAAUAACAGCUGAGGACCUGUAGCUCUACAAGGGCAGGGACUGUCAAACAUGCCAGACUGCACAUGGUAGUUACCACUAGAGGGCUCUGGGUAUGGGCAAUAAGCAGGACUUCUGCAUUUUACAUCUAUGCUAUCAUUCGAGUCUUGUAUGAGCAUUUAUUUUACAAAUCUCUAUCUUGCAAAGCAAACCCUUAGUGUGAAUAACUGAGGAGUGGUGGAUCGGCCAGCUCUUCCGUGCAGUGUUCUAAAGCCUCUUGCUCCUGUCUCUCCUGUGGGAAACCCAUAGUUACGGCUUCAAGCAGAGACCCAAGCACCACCUCAGGGUCUUGACCUUGUGUGGGAAUAAUCUAUCACCAAGAUGCAGACAGAGACAAACUGCUUCACAGAGCAUUUUAUCCCCUAGAAAAUCCCCAACCCCAGCAUCCUGGGUGCUGCCCAACCUCUUCAAAUACAAAGGCAAAUAAAAUAAAUAAAAGUAAAUAUUGUACUCAUAAGCAACAGAAUGCCUAGCAACCAAGAACAAGGGAGGGCUGGAGGAAGAAGGUUGACUUUCGCAGGCCCUUGUGUAUAAACUGCAGUAAAAGUCUUCUCUGUGUGAAUAAUAUAUUUUUGAGCGUUAAAUUAUAGAAGGUGUAAGGAAUGCUAAGGCUGAGACCCAACAGAGAGAGCUGGCCCCACCCUGAAUGGGAGGGGCAGGGGUCUCCUUGGUCUUUGUCCCUGCUGACUGGUAUUGAGGGAGGGGGAGUCUCCGCUGUAGCUUCAGGAAUGGAACACAGGGCACCAGGCCUCAGUUAAUCCCUUUAGGGACCCUUAGCCCUGAAACAAUGCUGGUGCAACCCCACAUGUAACUCAGAAGAAAAUGUUAAGUCACGAAAUAAAUGUAAGAGCUCUGAUGUUUUUCUAUAACACCCAUUUCAAUGCUUUGUUAGAAAGUAUGUACGUAAAGCACAUGACAUUGUUCUCAUUAAAUUUUUUUGUUACGAAAACUUUUAAACACACUCAGAAGAGUAGGAUUUUUGAACCUCUCAUCUGGGUACAAUAUUAUUAAAAUUCUGC
rnacentral:lncRNA from 1 species